ensembl:lncRNA
AUGGGAAAACGGAAUUCUGAAAUCCAGUCUCUAACUAACAUUGUCCGAAUUUUUAGCACUGAUAUCAGCAUGGAGUUUGGUUUGGACAAAUGUUCGACAGUGGCAUUGAAGAAGGGAAAAAUCAUUGAAAGUGAGGGCAUCAAUAUGCCUAAUGGCCAAACAAUAAAGUGUCACCAGCCAGAGGCCUAUAAAUACCUGGGCAUAUUACAGCUGAACAACAUCAAGCAUGAACAUGUGAAAACUGUAGUCAGCAAAGAAUACACACAAAGGGUCAGAAAAAUUCUCAAAAGCAAGCUCAAUGGAGGCAACACCAUCAAGGCCAUAAACACCUGGGCCAUACCUGUCAUAAGAUAUACUGCUGGCAUCAUAAACUGGACACAGGCGGAACUGGACAAUUUGGACAGAAAAACAAGAAAACUCAUGACCAUUCAUCAUUCACUGCACCCCCGCAGUGAUGUUGACCGGCUAUAUCUGCCUAGAAGAUCAGGGGGCAGAGGACUCUUACAAGUAAAACAAGCAGUCAAAGAAGAAGAGCAUGCCCUUGCAGAAUAUGUAAAGCAAAGUGAAGAACCUGCUUUGAUUGAAGUCAAAAAUCAGAAACUCCUCAAAGCACAGCAGACAAAAAACCUGUACAAGAAAACCGCACUACAAACUAGAGCUGACAGCUGGCACAACAAAACAUUGCAUGGAAAGUUCCUUGACAAAAUGGAAGGAAAAGCUGAUAAGGAGAAGACCUGGCUAUGGCUCACAAAUGGGACACUGAAGAAGGAGACAGAAGGCCUGAUCCUUGCAGCCCAGGAGCAAGACAUCAGGACAAAGGCAAUUCAGGCCAAGAUCGAAAAAUCAGCUGAUGACCCAAAAUGCAGACUGUGCAAGGAAACUGACAAAACCAUUGAUCAUAUCCUCACCUGCUAUAAGAAAAUCACACAGACAGACUACAAACAGAGGCACAACUACGUGGCCCAAAUGAUUCAUUGCAACUUAUGCCUCAAGUACCACCUGCCAGCAGCAAAGAACUGGUGGGAUCACAAACCUGCAAAAGUAUUGGAAAAUGAACACGCAAAAGAUACUGUGGGACUUCCGAAUCCAGACUGA